UACAGAGGGGGCUAGCGUUGUUCGGAAUCACUGGGCGUAAAGCGCGUGUAGGCGGCUUGCCAAGUCAGAUGUGAAAGCCUGGGGCUUAACCUCAGAAUUGCAUUUGAAACUGGCUUGCUCGAGUAUGGUAGGGGAUAGCGGAAUUCCUAGUGGAGAGGUGAAAUUCGUAGAUAUUAGGAGGAACACCGGUGGCGAAGGCGGCUAUCUGGACCAUUACUGGCGCUGAGACGCGAAAGCGUGGGGAGCAAACAGG
rnacentral:rRNA from 1 species